rnacentral:rRNA from 1 species
UACGAAGGGGGCUAGCGUUGCUCGGAAUCACUGGGCGUAAAGCGCACGUAGGCGGCUUUCUAAGUCAGGGGUGAAAUCCUGGAGCUCAACUCCAGAACUGCCUUUGAUACUGGAGAGCUUGAGUCCGGGAGAGGUGAGUGGAACUCCGAGUGUAGAGGUGAAAUUCGUAGAGAUCAUGAGGAAGACCAGUGGCGAAGGCGGGUCUCUGGACAGUUCCUGACACUGAGGCACGAAGGCCAGGGGAGCAAACGGG